UAUUUAUCAGUGGCAGAGUUCACUAUAAAUA
rfam:Gasterosteus aculeatus cont1.005422, whole genome shotgun sequence.